rnacentral:rRNA from 1 species
UACGAAGGGGCUAGCGUUGCUCGGAAUCACUGGGCGUAAAGGGUGCGUAGGCGGGUCUUUAAGUCAGGGUGAAUCCUGGAGCUCAACUCCAGAACUGCCUUGAUACUGAAGAUCUUGAGUUCGGGAGAGGUGAGUGGAACUGCGAGUGUAGAGGUGAAAUUCGUAGAUAUUGGAAGAACACCGGUGGCGAAGGCGGCUCACUGGCUCAUUACUGACGCUCAGGCGCGAUAGCGUGGGGAUCAAACAGG